rnacentral:sRNA from 1 species
GUCGAUUUGGAUCUUGUUUCCUCUUUCUUUGUCACCCGUUUCUUUUGCCGAGUCUUUAAAUCACACUGACUGAUUUGUGCGAGAAGGAUCAAUAUCAGGCAGGAGCAUAUAAUAAGUCUACACUCUCUCUUCCCACUUGCUUCAUUUGAAUAAAUCUCCCUGGAUCUGCUGUUGGAUAGUUAAUGCUAUGCUCAGUUGGUGAAAAAGCCAAGUUAUUGGAAAGACAAGAAGUGCUUGUUUUGUCUGGAUCUUCGUCUUGGGUCCCAGUGACACCUUUCCCUUGACACGUCACAUCUCGAGGCCAGGUCAUAAACUACACCAUCGUGAGCAGAAUUCGCCUGGGCGCACUCGAGUGUUGAUAAAGAAAUAAAAGAGACCAGUGUCUGAACUGAGGAGGAAGGCAAGAUGAAAUUACCCCUGAGUACGUGAUACGUGUGCACGUCUGAGGUUGAUCUCGCUUCAAGUCACGUGAGCAGAGGGGGGAGAGCCGAUCGGGGUUCCAAGUUCUCCCGAACAGUUCCGAGAGCGAUGCAAUUCAUGACGUCAUUGUGGCUGUGCCUGGUGUGCAUGGUAGCCCUGAUCCACCUUACCAAGGCUAUGCCUGAAAGGUUACGCAUAGGUGGCCUGACGAGACUGCAGGAGGUGCUCAAAGCGGCAGAGCGGACCCCUGCACAGAUCACGGUCCGGAAGCUGGAGAUGGUCAACUCGGACUACCUGGUACUGCUGAAAGAACUUCAAAAUCGUGGGGAGUACAGGUUCAUCGUAGACUGUAACGUCAAGACAGUCACAAGGUUUUUGCACGCGGGUCUGAAGUUGAAAAUGAUCUCAGAGCUAUAUCACUUUUUCUUCACUACUUUGGACUUGGGUCUGCUCGAUCUGAGCGACUACAUGCACGGUGGGGCUAACAUCACGGCCUACCGGCUCAUAGACCCAGACAGAGAGAAAGUCAUCAGUGUGAGAACCUCUUGGCUUUUCCGUUCAAAGAUUGGGGACAAAUCACCGCUUAUGGAGUAUUCAGAAAUAGAUACCGAGACUGCUUUAGCCUACGACGCCUAUGUUCUCUUCGCAAAGGCUCUGCACUCCUUGUCAGAAGCCCAGGAGGUGAAUACCAUUAGCCUGCCUUGUGACAAAGUGCACACCUGGAGAUAUGGAAACAGCUUAUUGAACUACAUGAAAGCGGUGA